AGUCAUGACUGGCUUGGCGACUCAAUAGAUUGGGUCUUGUUGGGGCUUUGCUGGGGCUUUGCUGGAUGGGCCUUGAUUUGCGGGUAUGUACCGGGCAAGUAGUCAGCCUUGAGCUUCCUGUCCUAAUAGAGGGAGCAGUGUGCAAUAUGUGUGGUCUUCGUGCAUACUCGUGCCGGCGGGUUGCAACAUCACAAUUGCUGCUGCGUGCGUAUGUAUAUACAGUGCACGUACAGUGCAGAACAACCCUUCGCCGGCAUCAUCUCAAGUCUAGAGAAGAGUGUCAUAAAAGUCGAUACUGCACGGAUGAUUGAAGAACUGUCACUAUUGGUGUAACAUGCGCUGUGGACGAUGAUUGGCAUGCCAGGGCAUAUAGCUUCCUGCGACUGCAGUGACGUGCUGAUGCCACGCACUGUGCUCAUAUUAUAAUGUGCUCCUGCUACUGCCCAUUACAGGAGGGCCAGAGUUUCGAUGGGUGCCGCGGUCACGCCGGUGAGUGAGGUUUCCGGAGGUCCCUGCCUGUGUGGUCCUUGCUGUGCACGUAUUAUCAGAAUCCAAAGCCCCAAUCAGGAAGGGAAACGACCUCCCGAAGCCUUUGAGCGAGGGCCAGGGCCCCACGCUUACUCCACACACAUACACACAUACACACAUACACACAUACAUACAUACACAUAUCUGAGCCGCCCUCGCCUCCCGCCCUCGUUCCUCUCCCCAUGGUUUUCCGAGUGCAGACCAGAGCGGUCUCUACCACUUUCACACUGAGCCUGGCUCCGGCUGCGUGUACAACGAGACCGCGGGCACGCACUCCCCCCUGCUGGGUAUCAUGUACGACAGCAUCCCGAUUUACGGCGCCCUGGGCGACAACGGUGUGCCGCCGACUAACCUAGACGAGUGCGGCGGCCACACAGACACCACCUACCCCUUCUACCACUACCACACCACAUACAACUUGAAGUCCCCGUGAGUGCAAGAAGGAAGCCAUGGCUCUGGGGUUUGUUACGGGAGGCGUUCUACCUUCAUCGCGCCCCAUUCAUAACGUAAACUACCGCUCAAAACUCACCCAUUACCGCAUGCCGUACUGCCGUGCUGUCGUACAGGUAUAUCGUCAAGUGCCUCCGCGGCUGCAUCUUCAACGCCAAUGGCAACCCCUCGGUGAGUCCAUUUUUGGCCCAUCAACCUUUGUGACCAUAGGGCCCUGGGGGUUUGAUAGCUGCCUUUUGCCUAUUUGCAGCUUCUAGUUGCAAUGACAGGGACCCCAUCCCAAGGCCAUUCCUUAGCGCUUAUUACUAUGAAGUCUGCCAUAUGCGCAUACUGGCGGGCGACAGUCAUGAUAUUCCGCGUUACCAAGCUCUAUCAGCAAAGUGUGUUUUAAUUGAUAUUUGCAAGACUCCCGCUCAUCUCUUGGUUAUCUGCUAGGGCGCCAUCCUGUAUGAUCUGCGGCUGGUCCUUUGCCCAUGACCAUGCCCUCUUCCUCCCUGCCUCAGAUCCAGCAGUACAACCUGGUCAAGACCGACGCCACGUGCGUAAAGGCGGCGACGCAGUACGACUACAGCUCCUUCGUCAAUCCCCUGCUGUCGUCAAGCCCUGUGACUACCAGCUCGCCGCCGCCGCCGCCACAAACCGGGCCAAGUAGCCCGCCGCCGCCGCCAUCAGCGCUGCGCAGCCCGCCGCCGCAGCUUGGGAAGCCACCAAAGGCGCAGGCGGGUAGCCCGCCACCGCCUCCGCCACCCAAGAUGGUCAUGCAGCCCAAGCCGGCAAAGCCAAUCCAAGGCAAGCCGGCCCUUGGGAGGCGCCACCUGUAAUUUACGUGGACAUGUGCUUUGAUAUUGUAUAUAGGGACCUGAUAUUGAUACAUAACGAUCAGAUGGGAAGCAACCGGGAGUGCAAAUGGCGAAGUAUAAGCACUGGAUGGGGCUGCCCUUUUCGGGAGCCGCAGCCGUCAUGUGGCCAACACAUGCUAAGGUUUUCAUUCCUCGUUUAGCACAUCGUAAGCUAAUGCAGUUUCGUUUAUGUUGCUGGGCUUUGGAGGCGAACAGAGCACGAAGGGGCAAGUACCAUGUCCCCAGGGGGCAGCGGUUUUGCCACUGUUGUGGUCCUAAUAGCCGAAUUGAGGAUGAAAAACACGUGUUAUUGGAAUGCCCAGCCUAUAAUGAUAUUCGUGCUGAAGAGGGAUUCGAUCAUCAACAGAGUAUGUUGGAGGCCAUGCAAUGGGAACCCGCACGUCUGGCGAGGAUGUUGGAACGUAUGUGGGCUCACCGAAACUCAAUUACCCCCUUUGGACGUUAGUCUGGGCUGAUGUGCGGUGUUUUUUCCUUUUUCUCCGUGGCUUUUAGGCGUUGUAGUAUUGCCCUUGGGCCCUCGGCUCGUAUGGGUAGUCUUACAGGUAUGGGGUCACGCACCCCCAACCAUGUAACACACACACACAUAACGAUCGCCAUUAACAGCGAACUUAAAUCCACUCUGCGAAAUACGCUUUACGAGGGUCACCGCCUGGGUAGUGUAUAUUGGGUCCUAAGCGGGUGAUGUUGAGUGCGUCAUGCUAGGCGAUGAGGCGUUGUUGUUUUGCCGGCAGGACCCCGGAUUCAAGCACGCUGCACACACACGUCGACAUGUGCCGGUUGCCAUGGGAGUGUGAUUAUCUAGGUGGUUAUUAGUUGCUUUCGAGAUUAUAUUUGUCGUACUCGUUGAGGGCAAGAGGGCCACGUGUGGCAUUGCUGUACAGUAGUUUGGGCACGGCAGGCGCUUAUUGUAUCAACGUAGUAGCAUAAGGGGUAGCGCCGUACCCAAUGCCUUCCUGAAGUUGGAUUGCAGCGGAAGAAGACGCUCUUGCCCGUAGUCGCGGAUUUGCACCGGGGUUGGAUAUACGCGUUGACGCCUGUCACUUCGUGGCCCUAGUGCCCAAAUGUGAGUCAGCAUCGUGUCGCGAUUCCAGCUCGGUGAGAAAAGAUUCGACUGUCGACGGGCUUCGGUAAUAAGGGUUAGCGUUAUCUCGCUUAAAAGUCGUUAGGUGUGGUUUUUUCUAUCCGUGGGAAAAACGUUUUUGAGUGUGCUUUUUCGGUCGUGUUUUCCAUAGCCAUUCCUCGGGUAAGCACCCUCCCCCUUCGCUAUCCAUCGAUAGCGGUCAAUUCGUGCGUGGUCGUGCCUUCCACAUACAUGCCAAGUCGUUUUUAAUCUUUGAAUGGCUUUGUGCGUCUUAGAAAAUGUUUUUUGGCGCCAUUUGUCGCCUUUGUGGUCUCGAAGCUACUUCCCCUUGGUUAAGCGAAAUACAAAUUUACCGGAUGAUUUGCUGAAUUGCAGCCACACUUGGGCAUCGAUUGGAGGAAUGUAACACGACGAUGAUUGAUCCUUUCGGUGGACUGCAGCACCGCACUGGUGCCAGGGCGGGCGGGAUCUGUACUACCUGUCUGGGUUUACAUGUCCCUCGCUCACUGUUGCUCGUGCAAGUUGUUCAAAUAGCAAUUCAAAUAGCAAUCAGGAAAAAGCGUAGAAAGCCGGCAUCGGACGGGAGCACGCCGUCAGCUGUGAUGGAUUGGAAGCAUGUGACAGGGCCCGGCCCGGGCCCCCGGGGGUCAGCCUGCACCUUAUGGCUGUUGACUAUUCACUGUCACAACAUACUCGGCAUCAUGUGACGCGACGUCAGCGGCUACUUGCAAAGAACCGAGUACACCUGGAAAACAAAUGGCUUGCUAUAGCUACACAAAAAGUGUACCAAACAUAGGGACGGCCAAUCCCCUGUGUGCGUGAGGACGCUGGGCACUGGUCGACAAUUCAUUUCCGCCGCCGCAAAGCUCAGUCAUACACCGCUGCUCAGAUUGCGCAACCAGCGUUUACCGUCUUAGAGCGUUUACCGUCUUAGAGCGUUUACCGUCUUAGAGCGUUUACCGUCUUAGAGCGUUUACCGUCUUAGAGCGUUUACCGUCUUAGAGCGUUUACCGUCUUAGAGCGUUUACCGUCUCUGAGGGGCUAUAUCCUCGCAAGGAGAACCAGCAGCCGCACCUGCACCCCGUGCGUGGUGCGUGCGUGUUUUUCCAUGUAUCGUGGUUACCCCCCGUGUGUCGUGUCUAUCACCCGCCUUCAGCUUAAUAGCUUAGGGCGUGAACACGUGUCCCAUUUUUUCUCGCUGCCAACAACUGCCGUACAGCAGGCAGGUUCCUGCGUGUUAUUACACCUGGGAAUGGGAAUUGUGUUUCGCAUGGCCAGCAACCAUGGCAUCGUGCUGAGCUGUUGUCGAUGGGGACGAGUUUGCAGAAGUCCCGCCCUUAACCCGCAGAGUAAUGCAUUGACUGCUGCGCAAGUGAGGCCGGCGAGACUGGUAGACAAGCCGAUACAUCGUUUUAAGUCAUCCGUGCUGUACGGGAUCCUCUGGUUGCUUUCAGUGAGUGGAAAUGGCGACCCAUCUAGCACUGCCAAUAGCCAGUACGAGACGGUGAUGUCGGUUGAAGGUCAGACGGUGUCCAUUUAUGCUGCAGCAACACUUGUGAGGCCCGGGGCCUACACCCCUGGGUACGCACGCUGUCCGCCUACCUGGAGCUCACCCACCCUGCACUCCAACCGGGACCGUGGCUCGGCAGCAGCGACCUUCCCGCAGACAUCAGCCGGAUCGUGGGGGCCCUGGGUCACUUGCCGCCUUUGGAGGACAUUGGCAGCAGGGUUCGACACUGACCUUCCUGAAACUUGCGGGCUCCCCCGUACCUCCCAAAUUUUCCUUACGGAGGGGCCCCCGUACCAGGCUCCUGUACCGGCCGAAAACCUUACGGGGGCCCCCGUAACCCCCGUAAAACCUUUACGGGGGCACUGUCCUUGGCUGAAACGCUGUGGAAAGUGACGCUUUGCAUUUUUUUGCCCUGUAAAUCGUUAUUUUCGUUAUUUUCUCGCGCUUCUUGGAGGGCGGUGGAUUAGGAGGCCCUUGGUCACCUCCUGACGACUCAUUGUCUGCCAUCGCUGGAUGUUACAGACCAGAAGCUAUAAAAGUAUUAUGAAAAGUGUAGUUAAAUAUUGGAAUAUGAAUUAUGUCUGCCAAGUGUGUGGCCUUAUCCUUUAUAUGGUCCGUCCUCUCCCCUACAGGGCCCCGUACGGCCUCUUAUAAAUCCUUAAAAUCCUUACGGGAGCCACCGUAACCGGCCUUCGGCCGGUCCGGGGGCGGCCCCGUACGGGGCGCUUCGCGCCACAAAAUCCUUACGGGAGCCACCGAAAAGUCCUACGGGCCCUGACGGGGAUACCGAAAAAAGGCCAAAAACUUACGGGCCCCGUACGGGGUGUCGAACCCUGCCAAUUUGGCAGAACCCCACUGGAACCCGGUGAUUGGUGCUGGGCGGCGGCGCUAUGGGGCAACCCACUGCUGCCCAAUGCGACCAAUGCUGCAAGCACCGAGGGCCCCAGCCGUCGACCAGGCCUGGAAGCAUACCAUGCAGCACUGACACCGUGCAGGAAACUACGCACGGUGGGGGACCUGGUACGGGUGUGGGAAGCGGUAAACACUAGCCAAGCCACCACCCUCCAGGGAGCAGCCUGGCAUUCGUGGGCCCGUGAGCACCUCGACCCAGCCACAGGCCCCGCCCAGCUGCAGGACAAGGAUGCCGCCCUUGCAGCUCUUGGAGCCCUGCACAGCGACAUCAGCCCGGCCUGGCUGGCGGCAGCACACGCGGUGGAGAUCAGGCUGCGACAGCAACAACAAGUGGAGGAGGGGCCCCAGCAGCAACCACCAGCACAGGCAAUGACACUGCCAGACUGCACACAAGUGAUGACCAUGAUGAUUGGGCGCCUGGGGUGGCGCCUCCCUGGGGCGACGGACGCUGUGCCGCUCCGCCGCCUAACAGUCAGUCAAGCGACACAGCUACAGAACGGGCAUGUGGACGAGCGGCGAAUACGCCUGAUGACCGACUUCGUGCAUGAGGCCCUGAACACGCCCGAGGCCCAGGCCCAGCCUGACAAUUCUGCCGAGCUUAGCCGCUUUCAGGCAACUCUGGCGCGCUUGUGGCAUGGGGUGCGCUGGGAGAAUGAGAACAAGGAGACCAUGUGGCGUCUCGCCGUGGAUGGCGUGCCCCUACCUGGCAACACGCACCUAGCCCGGGUGCCCACUGAGCCAUGCGGGUGUGGGACCUAUGGGGGCGCCGCCGGCCGACCCUGCCCACCGCGUCUGCACCAUUUCUGGGAAUGUCCAGUCGCACGUGCCGUACGGGAGCAAAAUCGACAGGCACCUGCCACACACUCAGACAACAGUAGGGGCCACCACCACCCGGCAACAGCUCUGGCUUGCCCAAGCGCCACCCGGGUGUGAGCAGGGCCCUUGGGAUGUGAUCGCCCUAGCGGCGCUAUCCGCCAUGGAAGUCGGCAGGUGCUGCCUCCGAGCAGCAACCCGGCGACAGGGACGGAUGGGGGCGACAGCAACGACGGGACAGCAGCAGCAGCAGCAGCGACAGCAACAGCGACAGAUGAUGGGGCAGCCACAGCAGCAGAGAUCCCGCCAGCGGGCCAUCACAGAUUUCUUCACCCCGGCGGGAGGUGCAAUGCAGCAAGAAGGACCCACCCUAAACGCCCCAGCGGAUGAAGGGCCAACGCAGGAAGCAGGGGCGGGAGGGGGCGAGGCGGUGGCAGCAGCAGCAACAGCGGGCGCAACAGGAGCCUUGCCACUGGCCCGCGCACGCGCCCGGGCGGUGGCAGACUUCUGGGCGCGUUUGCGCUCGUUCGCAAUGCUGGAGACCCCCAGACACGGCUGGGACAGAGUCGGGCCGCAGCACCCUAUCCUGGCGGUCGUGGAGGAACGGAUGCGGUGCGCAGCACCGGUGGAAAUCACGGCCUAAAUAGCCGAGAUAGAGUCGGGUCGAGGUCUUACUGGAAAGGGAGCAGGGAGAGUGAGGGAGGGGGUGAGAGAGCCAGGAGUAGGGAUAGGUGAGGGAGCGAGGAGAGCAGGGAGGACCGGGGCAGGUGGAGGGCAGGGCGAGGAGGCAGCGCCCUGAGCGUGGUCUAGCAGGGGGAGUUGGGGAUCCGGGCUGUGUGUGUUUUGUGUGCUCGUGUGGUUGCCCUCUCCCCGGGAAUUGGGGCCCGUCGGAGUGAGGGGAUUGGGUUCUGUGCUGUCUGGCAUCAGAGUGGAGGAGACGUAGGUGGCUUGUGAGAGUGGAGAGGAGGUGGGAAAGCGGUGGAGGACAGUGGUUGGGAGGUGGAGAACAGGUGUUGCUGUUUCCGGCAGGGUCAGGAGGGGAGGGGUUUCGGUGUGGUAAGCGGGAGCAGGCGGCGUCUGUGAGCCGUGCCUUUUCCGGGCUUUAUAGGGGGGCACCGUGCUGGCUUAUCAUCCCCCCCGCGGCAAUAGGUGUUUUUGCUGUGUCUUGCGCUGGGCUGCACCCGGGAACCCGCAACCCCCAGGAGGAGACUGACAGGCGGACCAGUUUCGCCUCGUUUGUGAGUGGACCGGCGAGGUAGUGGUGGCCACCCUCGGGAAGUGUUCGUUGCUCGUUGCUCGUGGUAGUUGAACAGCUGGCCUUCAAGGACCAGUGUGCGAGUACUCGCUUCGUGUUGGUCUUCUCUGUGCAACCGUAUCUCGGCUUAUGUGGUGUGUCGUCUCAGGCCUGUGGUCCUCCGUGUAUCUCUUGCCUUGCUGGCUGCGUGGGGCCCUGGUUUUUGAGUGUGUAGAGGAGCCCCCUGAGUAGAGCCCCUGCCCCCGGUGGUGUUUUCUUUUUGUUCUUGUUUUGGUGGUCAAGAGGGACGAGAGCGCGUGAAUAGGCAGGCCAGGCAAAGUGGCGCCUUUCGUGCGGCUCUCGCAUAGUUCGGUUCGCAGUCCUCUGCACCGCUGUGUUGCCUAGCCAGGGGCUGGGAGAGCGUCCCGGUUGGCGUGAGUGAGGGAAUGAGGCGCGCGCGGGAGGAACAGACGGACGUAGAGCCGCGCGCCCACCCCUGCGCUGUGUUUCGGCCCGGUCAGGGCCCCCGGUGCUCGUCCUUUAUCGGGCGAGCCGCCCACAGUGUAACACCCCAUCAACACUUGAAAGAUUGCGUGUGCGAUGACUUGGAUUCGGCUGAAGGAUGCUCGCCCUCAGCCAGCACAUUAAUGAGUAACUGUAACCUAUCAUAGACAUAUGUACGUUUUCUCCAAAACGUUUUUUUCCGAUGACUGUCGACAUCCCGGUUUCCCAUGAUGACAGCGACUUCCAAUCCUAUAACCCGUAACAUCGCUCGGCCACGAUCACGUCAAAUUGUUCUGGAGUAUGUUCCCAGAUAUUUCUACGCGGCAAUAACUGCGCGGGCCGUACUGCUUCAAGCGCCGCUUGCAUGGGCGCAGGGAGCAGGCACGGCGACCGGACUCACUGAUAGCCAGCCGCUACCUCUUUUGGGACAACCCUGCACGACAUGCUGUCGUCGUCUUUUGAGGAAACCAGUUACCCAAGCUUUCCUAAUUAGUCAUAGCGUACCGCAAGGAACCGUUUGGGAAGGCUCGGUCUAUCUUAUAGGGUUUUAGGGUUUUGCGAAUGGGAAAAAAUACGUUUGGGAUGCAAGUUCAAGGCAGUGCAUGCGUCAAAUAGCAUGGAUGAAAACUUUUAAAACGACGAUAUCUUACGUAGAGGCCCAUCCCUACCUAUCAUACUAGGAGACAAUUUUUAAAAAGAAAUAAUAUGUCUUGCAGACUAUCGUAGAGAGCGCUGCAGGUAGGGCUAGAGGAGAUGUGCUGCAAUGUUAGCCGUCCUCAAAAUGCUCGAACCUCGGUGGGCUCUCGGCCGACAGGGCUGCAAUGGGAAUUCCGAAACUGUUUGAAACAAGCGGAGUCCUUCAGCUCAUCAUAAUAUGUGUGGCACUGAGUUUUGGCGUGAUGAUGUGAAAAAAGGCCGAUGGCAGGAAGACUGGCGGGCAACUGGCGGGCAACGAAACAAUCGCGCAUGACAAGGGUAAGAGGCAAUAGCUGUGCGAUAGGUCAUAAAGCGGCUGCACUAGGUCGUGGCUUUAUGCAACGCCAGCUCGGGCUUGGAGGCACACAACGUGACAGCCCAAAUGAACGGUGUGGGCGAUGCCAUUGUACUUAGUGAUCUUGGCUGCACGCAAGGCAGGGGAAGACGUAACCAACGGCAACCAGCCGAAAGUUGCUGAAUUACAGCGUUAACCACCUGAAUUUGCUGACGUACAGCGUUGACCUGCUGAAAGCUACCGAAGUACAGCGUUGACCUGCUGAAAGCUGCUGAAGUACAGCGUUGACCUGCUGAAAGCUGCUGAGGUACAGCGUUGACCUGCUGCGAGUUGCUGAAGUACAGCGUUACAGUCUGGCUAAUUAUUAGGUUUCCCCAGAUUCCCAGCUAAAAAUGGCCACACCUUUCGCAGGAGGAAAUCAGCAGCUCAAUUUGCGUCAGGUUACCCCAGAUCGGCCAGUGUCGGACCUGCGGCAGUAGGCCACGGAGCUGGCCCGACCCCUGCUCCAGCCUGCGCCAGCCCUGCCUUGAGCCCUCCUGUGUCCUGUCCUGCUCGCACUGCAUGGUCCCCAAGAAACAAAGUUUCCAAUGGUAUCUUUACAUCAUUCAACUAAGGAAUACGGCAGGAUUUCCCGGAGUGUAAAUGUUUCGGUCACAUUCCGGUUUUACCGUUUCGUAUAUGUUCGUACCCAGCCGCCGCGCACGCCGUCCAUUGGGGAAAUUUACUAAAUGUUCAUGUUCAUGGCCGUUUCUCAUGGAAAAUUAUUUUUUUAGUCAUGUUCAUCUAAGUUAUGAGCAACGCCGUCUCAAGUACCUCCGAUGAUUAUUGCCCAUCGAUUGGAGGCAAACUGCCUGCUUAGAUUUUACAAGUUAAGGGUUAUAUGGCGUAGUGAAUAUUAUCUCUGCCCCCGAGGGCAGCGUGACCAAGCUUAGCCCUGCAUGGCCAAUAGGUCAUACGCCUUCGCUGCAUCUUAACUUCCGCUGCACUGGUGACUUGCCAUUACUGUACACAAAUCUUAUCAUAAUAUAGGGAUUUAAUUCCUUUAAAUUUUAACCUGUAGCGUACGCGUUCUGGUGGAAGUGCGUGUUCACGCAAUCGCUGGAAUGGGCUUUUCGCCGUCCCCGUGCAACAACUGCCGUAAACUUCCUACAGUCUUUGCAGUAUUUAAGCGGCAUUAUUUUAAUUUACAUUAUCGAAAUCAAUACCUAACUUAACCAGCGUGGUAGGGGUUGAUUUGCGCAACCCUUUGCCAUUGUACAGGGAAGAUGAACGCCGAGGGGUCAUUGCAAAUGCUGCUGGCGGGAAUGCUUGCGAUAAAUCUGCUGAGCUUAAGUGUGGUUACUGCUCAGCCUGGUGGCACCACAACUCCUUGCCCAAAAGGCAAUGGCCAGGUACUUGGCGGCUCCAGCGGCCUGUAAUCGGUUCUGAUGGGCAAUUCUGUACAUACAAAAUGAGGUAUUGUUUCCCUACCUGCGGACCUUCACUCGGAAAUCAGCAAGUCUUGGGCCGCGGAAUGUCGUAAUCCGCGUUCGUCGCUAGUACUUGAUACACCCUGGCGCCUUUAUUGCGAUGUUCUCUUUGUCGACUGUAUCUUCGGUCUACUCUGUGUUCCCGGACUUAUCCGUUGCCCGCUGGCCCCAUUGACAGGUGGUGCGGCUGGUGAGCAAAACGAGCACCGAGUACACGGUCUUCUUCAGCGGCUGCCCGUUCUACAGCCCCUACAAUCAGACCACACCUAACUCGCCAACAUUCCAGAACAAGACGGUGAGAACUCAGUGAAACGCUGUGAAAAGUCAAGUCAGUGUCCCCCAUGGCUGUGGUACCUAUAAGCGCCAACUCACCGGCCUAACAAACUAACUACCGUUCCGGCGGGCUUCCCUCUCCCCCGCAACCCACGGCGUGUAGGUUACGUUCCGCAUCACCCCGGUGCUCUCGUCCACCGUCACGUGAGUGCGGCCCGGGGGCCCGUACAUGGGCCUUGGGCACUGUUGGGUAACACGACCUAUCUGGGCUGUACAUGGUCAGGGGACGAGGAAGUGCGUGCCCGGGUCGCUUGAGUUAGGGAGAAAACAGAACCAUAAGGCCAUACAAAGGUCAUGUCAAGUCCCUAGUGUAUAGUACGUUGUGGCUUUAACGCACGAACCAGUUGUGACGCUUCUAUGCAUGCCCCCUUGCCUCCUCUGCCGUCCCUUACCGCACACUCCCAGGAAGUUCGCUUCACCUCUCAUUCCCUGUAGCAGUCCAACAUGUGUGCCUUAGCUUAACCCUUUACUUGUUUCAGUAGCUCGGCCCUUGACUCACUUUCCCACUUCCUUUUCCCGCUCCUGAACCCGCCACUGAGCCCUUCCCCUCCCGCCCCGCCAUACGUCACAUACGGCCAUACAUACGUACCUACAGCUACGUCGGUAUUUAUGCCAGCGGCACCACCAGCAACUCCCAGAAGAUCAUGAGCACCAUCGGCUACACAGUCACCGGCAUUGCCAUGUUCAGCGAUGCGGAUGCUACCGGGUCUGACGCCUACGUCAACGUGGGUCGCGGGUUGGGGGGUCUGACGGCGGUUGGGGGGCCUUUGCAGCGGAUAACCGGCGGAACACACCAUCAUGGCUGCAGUACUGCCGCCCCUGCCCCUUAUGCAGCUGUGCUGCUAAUCCCGCCACUGCCCCUGCUGCUACUGCCCAUUACAGGAGGGCCACACUUUCGAUGGAUGCCGCGGUCACGCCGGUGAGUGAGGUUUCAUGCGGUUCCUGCCUGUGUGUUACUGUUGCUGUGCGCGCAUUGUGAGGUCCUCUGCUUGUUGCGGCCCUGCCCGGCAUGGGGCAGAGGUGGACACGGGGGCGGAGGGGCAUUGGCGGCGUCCGAGUAGUAGUGUGCAGCCUCUAUGGCUUCGGACCCCUAUCCAUGCAAGGGAUGUUGGUCCUUGCUCCAUGAUAAAUGGAAGGUGCAGAGUACUGGACCUUGGAGCCUUUGUGUCCACAAUCAUUCCUUGUGCCCCGCCCCAAACCAAGUCGCCUGCCGCCGCUACCCCCCAGCUCCCCUAACCGUUCUGUCCUCAUCUAAAGCCACCUCACGCCCUAAUCCCGAUCCCUGCCUACUUCGGCGUGCAGAAAUGAACGGUCUCUACCACUAUCACUCGGAGCCUGGCUCCGGCUGCGUGUACAACGAGACCGCGGGCACGCACUCCCCCCUGCUGGGUAUCAUGUACGACAGCAUCCCGAUUUACGGCGCCCUGGGCGACAACGGUGUGCCGCCGGCGGACCUAGACGAGUGCGGCGGCCACACAGACACCACCUACCCCUUCUACCACUACCACACCACAUACAACUUGAAGUCCCCGUGAGUAUAACCAAACGGUCUGUUAGGUCCAGAUAUGCCUAACGAUAUCCUGUAAAUGCGGGAGCGUUGGAUGGACUACUUGUGAUUACAUGCCAAUCCGGAAGACGAGAAAUAUGCGAGUUUAGGGCUUAGCUUGGACUCGGAUCCACAUUUUAGUAUAUGAAGGAUGACACCUGUCGUACUCCAACGGUAGCAAGACAUGCAUACAUGCAUGGCAGCACACCAUAAUAUUACCUAGUUGAAGCCGUGGCGCGAAGGAGGGUUGUACCCGUUGUACCCGUUUUUCGGGCCCCGUUGGCUGGGAUAGAUACAGCUGCAGUGCAGGGCCCUCACGCAUGCAAGGCCCUCCGCCCAGGCAUAUUGUCACUAGGGUUUUUCAGAGCUUGAGAAGGCCCCUCCGCUCCUCUGGGGCAUCUGGCCCUGGGAGCAUGUGCACGGAAGUGAUCCGACCCCUCCGCGGUAACAGUUACUUUCCGUACAUGUCGUACAGGUACCUCGUCAAGUGCUUCCGCGGCUGCAUUUUCAACGCCAACGGCAACCCCUCGGUGAGCUGCCGCCUGGCCCAGACCUGUCGGUCUUACCACACAUACAGCCCUCAUCUGCCUUGUGUGCUUGCGUGGCUCUUUCAGACAGUUGCCAUUGCCCGAGGACUUGCCCGUAGCCUGGGACCGGACCGUGCAACAUAUGCGCUUGGCUGUUGAUGGUCAUUUUCUUCAUGCUGCGUGCACGACAUGCGUUGCUUUGCUGUUCGCGCAUGUCCCAGAGAUGUUGAGGGUUUUCAGGGCGCUCAGGUCAUCGGGUCAUUAUGGCACCCGCCAUCACCACCGUGAGCUGAUUGGACAAGAGCAUCAUCAUCUAAUGCUUUAGCAAUGCCACCCGUUACGAUGUGUCACUGUGACUAGACCUCCGAACUGUUGCCCUGUUCCUCCCUCCCGCAGAUCCAGCAGUACAACCUGGUCAAGACCGACGCCACGUGCGUAAAGGCGGCGACGCAGUACGACUACAGCUCCUUCGUCAAUCCCCUGCUGUCGUCAAGCCCUGUGACUACCAGCUCGCCGCCGCCGCCGCCACAAACCGGGUCAAGUAGCCCGCCGCCGCCGCCAUCAGCGCUGCGCAGCCCGCCGCCGGUGCUUGGGAAGCCACCAAAGGCGCAGGCGGGUAGCCCGCCACCGCCUCCGCCACCAACAUCGCGCAGCCCGCCGCCGGUGCUUGGGAAGCCACCAAAGGCGCAGGCGGGUAGCCCGCCGCCGCCGCCACCAACAUCGCGCAGCCCGCCGCCGGCAAUGACACGUAGCCCGCCGCCGUCGCUGCCAUCCAAGUCGCCGCCGCCGCCACCGCCACCGGCAGUAGCGGGGUCGCCGCCACCAGCGGGGAUGCGGCCCAAGCCGCCCAAGGCUGUGGUAGGCAGGCGCCUGUAAAGUAUUGACGUGUUCUUUGCAUUCAUGAGGCGCCAGACAUGCUUCUCACCAUAUCGUGGACAUGUUAAGCCCACCCUUCCGGGCGUUUAUGUACCAUAGCCGUUGCUUCGGUUACAUUCAUUAGGAUCCAUUCCAUAACCCGGAUCCAAAUGUUACAUUGCUAUGCCUGCUUAUGCCUGAAGUACGCGUUCGAAUUCAUCAAGCGAUGUGCACUGGGACCCAUUUUGAGUUGGUUGCACGCUAUAGUUGCUUUUGAGGUGAUGGAUAUAUCAAAGGUAAUCUUGAGGGCGCGAUGGCCAAACACAGCCGUACGUGUAUGAUUCUGAAGCUAAUCUUGUGAGACAUUAGAUUCGCAAGCAUCAUAUAUAAGAAACACUGCUGCACAGGUUACCCCUUCAUGCUAAUAAACACGAUGCAUGGUACAUUGUUGCGGCAUCUGCUGGGAAGGGGAUGUGGCGCCGUACGGGGAGGCCGGAGCGCUCCCAAGGCGCAGAUCGCUUGCGUCCAUGCAUGGGCGUGCAUGUAGUGGUCGUAGAUUGCACGCAUGUGGAAAUAUAACGACACCUGUCAUCGCUCGUGGUCCAUAAUAUCACGUAUGUCCAUCGCCAUAAUUUCGGCUUGGAGGAGGCCAAUCAGCAGCCAAUAAAACUCAGUUGUAUCCGCUAGUUCGGGUUAGGUUGGGGUAGUUCGGGCUCAGGUAAUUCGCGUACGUUUUCGAGGCAUGGUGUUGUUGUAUUGGUCAACAAUUGUAGGUUACAUACAGCUGCUCAACGAGCGCGCUCCUCGUGUGUCGAGCAAUUUAGCUAGAUUAAUCCCGGACCCCAGGCGCAUGGAUGGCGGUAUGGAGCUGUCCCGAUACGGAGCAUGGCCCGCCGUUAUCGGAAAACCAUGUGACAUCCUUAGAUGCUUGACUCUUGUAAAGUACUCUUCCCGGGCAGUGUACAAUUCAUGAAAUGAGUGCAAAACAUGUGGUCAUGGCCUGCAUUGGAAUACCAUGCGCAACAUGACCUGGUCAUGUUCCACAUGUCAUAGAUAUUUAUGUGCAGGUAUAUGACCGACUUUAUGACCCCCUGGGGUCAUAAAGCGCAGCCAUGACUGCCAGUGGCUGGGGUCAUAUUGGGAUCCACUUUUUCAUAAAUUGACAUCAUGAAUCGCAGACAUUCUAUGACCCCCACCAGUCAUAUCCUGCACUUGGCUUUUGCAAACUAUGAACAGUUCCAUGACCGGAUCCAUGAAUAAGUGACAAAUUAUGACCGGAUCUAUAACAACAUUCAUGACCGGAUCCAUGACUGGAAAACCCGUCCAUGACCAAGCCGUUCCCCGAGUGCCCUGUCCUCGCUCUGCCUGCGCGUCAGUAACACCACACACAGCAGCCGAACUCGCAAGCGUAGCAAAUACCGAGGACAGGCUUGUAAAGACAGGGCAUUUCUGGUGGCCCAGGUUCAAAUAUAAAAACAACAACAGGUUUUCGGGAGGUUUAGGGGUCUCACACUUUGCUUGAGAUUGACUGGAUCCACCCCAAAGCGCCCCAAGGCUUGCUACAUGCGCGACCGUGCGCUUCCCGUGUUUUGACACACAAGGCGAGUUCGUUCCGAUCCGAGCCAGCACGGUGACCGUGGGUUUCGUCAAUGUAAUCUGUAGCUGCCAAUUGAUCUUGACAGAGAGGUUACGUCCAAUUACGAGGGGGUUGCAAAGCAUGUAGCAAUGUCCCAGUCACUAAAAUAAGCAAAGCUCGGUAUAUACCAUAUAUGGUAACCGCCGCAUCGACCAUCCCCAACCAUUCUUGUAUGCCAGGGGUGUAUGUGAAUACUUUUAUGCACAACUGAAGUUUUUGCACGCAUGUCGAUAAUUUCGUUGGUCCUGUGGACAAGGAUGAGGACAUCAAAAUGGCGGUAGUCCACACACCCCGAGGAGGAGCUCAAGAGCUCAUUUGUGCGCGUUCUGGAGGUGUGUACUGUCCAAACACGAAUGACAUGCGGGUGAACUCUGCACACGGUGUGCAUGACUCAUGCCAUCUCGCAGAUGGCUACCCGCAUUGCUGGCAUGGGAGCAGUGUUGUUCGUCAGUUACGAACUUCCCCCGCGAGCGUCCUCGAACUGCCUACGGACAUGAAGCCGUUUCUCGUUGCUGCAAUGGUCCAAUACAUAUACCUCUCAAAUACAUUGACCACGCCUUGAGGUGGAGCUGUCGUUUGCGUUUUAAGGUGCUUGACCCCUGAAAUCAUGAAUUGGUCCAUGCUGAAAAAACAGUCAUGUUUGAUGUUAUGAUGGCACAUAGUAGGAGUGAACUGGGUGCAAUAGGUGUAACACAACAGUUGUGGUCAGGCAAACGAUCAAUGGAGGGAUGGUGGCACGCAAAGCAUGAUCGAUUGUUGAAUAAUUGGCACGCUAUCAUGCGUAUUGUGUCCGCGCCGGCAGACGAAACGUUUUAGGGGACCACGUGAUGAUUGCGUUUUUGAGCUCGUCCGCUCGUCAAAACGGUCAUUGUCUUUACCGUUGAGUUCUAUUUAGGCCCUUCUUUUUUCAAUUUACAUGAUAAUAAUUGUAUUAGGGGUGAUUUCAAUAUCCACCAGUGUGAUAGGGGUGACUUUAACAUCCUUCAAUGAACUCGUUGGGCUUAUUGGAGAUGCUGGCUUUGGCAUUUGUAAUAGCUUUACCAGGCUUAAAGGCUUUAAGUUUGCAGCCUGGUGCCGGCGGUGGCAGCACGCUAAGUGCUUGCCCAAGUGGCAAUGGCCAGGUAAAUGCCGGCUGACAAGGUCUUAAUCGGGUUUGAUUGCCAUUAAAUUAAAAGGAUUUCAAUAAUCGAGAAAUUUCCUAUUCUAUCCUUACCAACACUAGAAGUCGAGGGCGCCUGGGCCGCGGCAUGUCGCGACCGACGUUCGUCGCUAAAACUCCACACGCAGCCGCUAGUGAACGGAUAACGUCCAUAUCUAAACCUUUAAUCAGCGCUAACUGCAUGUCCACUAUGCUGGUCUGCUGCGUGCUGGCGGGGACGUAUCAUUUAUACGGCUCAUUUGACAGGUGGUGCGGCUGGUGAGCAAAACGAGCACCGAGUACACGGUCUUCUUCAGCGGCUGCCCGUUCUACAGCCCCUACAAUCAGACCACACCUAACACACCAGCCUUCCAGAACAAGACGGUGAGAACUCAGUCAACGCUGCGAAAAGUCAACGCUGUGGUACCUGUGGGGGCACCAAUUCACCGGCCUAACUAACUAACUACCGCGGACUCCCGCCAACCCACGGCGUGCAGGUUACGUUCCGCAUCACCCCGGUGCUCUCGUCCACCGUCACGUGAGUGCGGCCCGGGGGCCCGUACAUGGGCUUGGGAACUCGAGCUGUUUGUGGCCAGGGAACGAAGUGGUGCGAGUCCGGGCGGAAGGCCACAGGCGCUGUUCCUGCUGGGCUAGCCAACACUCGACUCAAGUCUUCUGCGCAGGUUCCUUGGUUCUUACACGGCAAGCUGCAUAAAUAAACCAUCAGUAGACUCGGCGCAACGCACAUAUGAACGCUCGCUGUCGGUUUAGGCCGUACGUGUUGUGGUCCCACGCAUUGUGCACCUAUGUAUCUAUCACCGUGAUGUUUCCAGCAACCGCAAUCGAUACGGCACCUGCCCGGCGUUUCGAGGCCGGAGUGGCACAAUGAUGCAUCCUGCUGCCUACCCGCCUGUGUGGCUAGCUCUAGGCGCAGACGCUGCUUCGCUCCCUCCACCCCUGGCCGCCCACUGUCCGCUGCCUUGCUUCACGCGUGUUGUGUUUCGCAUUGUUUUGUAGUGGGCUCCAGACUCGUGAAGAGUAGAUCCGUCGGGCCAGCUGGCCGUGCACUGCACCUAAGGUGUUUUAUUUGUUUCAGUAGCUCGGCCCUUGACUCACUUUCCCACUUCCUUUUCCCGCUCCUGAACCCGCCACUGAGCCCUUCCUCUCCCGCCCCGCCAUACGUCACAUACGGUCAUACAUACGUACCUACAGCUACGUCGGUAUUUAUGCCAGCGGCACCACCAGCAACUCCCAGAAGAUCAUGAGCACCAUCGGCUACACAGUCACCGGCAUUGCCAUGUUCAGCGAUGCGGAUGCUACCGGGUCUGACGCCUACGUCAACGUGGGUCGCGGGUUGGGGGGUCUGACGGCGGUUGGGGGGCCUUUGCAGCGGAUAGCCGGUGGAGCACACCAUCAUGGCUGCAGUACUGCCGCCCCUGCCCCUUAUGCAGCUGUGCUGCUAAUCCCGCCACUGCCCCUGCUGCUACUGCCCAUUACAGGAGGGCCACACUUUCGAUGGGUGCCGCGGUCACGCCGGUGAGUGAGGUUUCAUGGGGUUCCUGCAUGUGUGUUACUGUUGCUGUGCACGCAUUGUGAGGUCCUCUGCUUGUUGCGGCCCUGCCCGGCAUGGGGCAGAGGUGGACACGGGGGCGGAGGGGCAUUGGCGGCGUCCGAGUAGUAGUGUGCAGCCUCUGUGGCUUCGGACCCCUAUCCAUGCAAGGGAUGUUGGUCCUUGGUCCAUGAUAAAUGGAAGGUGCAGAGUACUGGACCGUGGUCUUGUGCCCACAAUCAUUCCUUGUGCCCGCCCCAAACCAAAUCGCCUGCCGCCGCUACCCCCCAGCUCCCCUAACCGUUCUGUCCUCAUCUAAAGCCACCUCACGCCCUAAUCCCGAUCCCUGCCUACUUCGGCGUGCAGAAAUGAACGGUCUCUACCACUUUCACACUGAGCCUGGCUCCGGCUGCGUGUACAACGAGACCGCGGGCACGCACUCCCCCCUGCUGGGUAUCAUGUACGACAGCAUCCCGAUUUACGGCGCCCUGGGCGACAACGGUGUGCCGCCGACUAACCUAGACGAGUGCGGCGGCCACACAGACACCACCUACCCCUUCUACCACUACCACACCACAUACAACUUGAAGUCCCCGUGAGUGCAAGAAGGAAGCCAUGGCUUGUUCUGGAGCUUGUCAGGAAUGCUCCUUGCAUCUCUCACGUAAUACAAGGAAAUAUCACUUUAAGCUCUGUCAAGCGUACGCAUCUCAGCCAUCCCGUUUCUCCGUGUACCUUUGCCCCUCAAAUCCUGGAUAAAAUCCUGGGAGCAAAGGUUAAAUCUCGCACCUCUAAUCCUGCAUUUUUCCUUUGCGCCACGGCCGGUGGCACGCGGCCCCUCAUGUGGUCUGGCGCGCGG
rnacentral:lncRNA from 1 species